rnacentral:rRNA from 1 species
GACGAAGGGGGCUAGCGUUGUUCGGAAUUACUGGGCGUAAAGCGCGUGUAGGCGGUUGUUCAAGUCAGGUGUGAAAGCCUUGAGCUCAACUCAAGAAAUGCACUUGAUACUGAUGACUAGAGGACCGGAGAGGAUAGUGGAAUUCCCAGUGUAGUGGUGAAAUACGUAGAGAUUGGGAAGAACACCAGUGGCGAAGGCGGCUAUCUGGACGGUUUCUGACGCUAAGACGCGAAAGCGUGGGGAGCAAACAGG